GCAAGACCCAGUAAUCAAGCCACUACAUGAACUGGAGAAAAGUAACUUGGAAGAUAUUCUAACUCAAAUUCCAUUGUGGAUAAAAUGGCCCGAUUGCGAUCGAGUAGACUGGCUAAACAAGUUUGUCUUGGAUAUUUGUCCUUACCUUGACAAGUGAAUUUGCUCCACAAUAAGAAGCAUGGCACAAACUAUCUUUACAAAAUACAUUAAGGCAAUUGAAUUCGGCGAACUGAGUCUUGGAACUCUACCACCCAUAAUAUAUGGAGACCAUCAAAAGACAAGUCGCAAGCCUCUACCUCUGGCCUUAAAGACUUGAUAUCCCCUACCUUCAACCUUGAGAAAACAACUGAACUUUCUAGUCGUGAAAAGAGAUGUCUAUUACUAUAUAUGGCAUUGCUGGUAGAAGAGAACGGGGAGCAAGGGUAGAAGCUCGAGAGCUUAAGAAAGAUGAUGAAGUGUGGCUGGUCGGGAGAGCAGUUUAGAGCACCAGAUGAUCUGGUAUUUUCAUAUUAUGUGGAUUUAACUCGUAGAGUUAUAGUUUGCUUGAUUGAUGUAAUGAGAUCUGGAUACUUGUACGUUUUCAAAUGAAAUUAAUUAUAAUGAUAAUUUGAUUGAAGUGUUUCUCUUA